rnacentral:SRP_RNA from 1 species
UUACUUGUGCAACAAUAAUGUAGGAACUAAGUCAGGAUCGGAAGAUAGCAGCUUUAACUAUUUAUUAUUGUGUGCACCUUUUU